rnacentral:rRNA from 1 species
GAUGAACGCUGGCGGCGUGCUUAACACAUGCAAGUCGAACGAUGAAGCCCAGCUUGCUGGGUGGAUUAGUGGCGAACGGGUGAGUAACACGUGAGUAACCUGCCCUUAACUCUGGGAUAAGCCUGGGAAACUGGGUCUAAUACCGGAUAGGAGCGUCCACCGCAUGGUGGGUGUUGGAAAGAUUUAUCGGUUUUGGAUGGACUCGCGGCCUAUCAGCUUGUUGGUGAGGUAAUGGCUCACCAAGGCGACGACGGGUAGCCGGCCUGAGAGGGUGACCGGCCACACUGGGACUGAGACACGGCCCAGACUCCUACGGGAGGCAGCAGUGGGGAAUAUUGCACAAUGGGCGCAAGCCUAAUGCAGCGACGCCGCGUGAGGGAUGACGGCCUUCGGGUUGUAAACCUCUUUCAGUAGGGAAGAAGCGAAAGUGACGGUACCUGCAGAAGAAGCACCGGCUAACUACGUG